GCAACAUGGUGAUGAUGAUAUACUUGCUGCUACGCAUAUUUCAUCACAUAUAUAGAGAGGAUGGCUUUAUGGCUCUACUGUGAAUUUAGGAAGCGUGCUAUAAUUGAAUGUGUCUUUUUACUUCAGCCAUGACGUGACUGGAUGGUCUGGACAUUAGGUGAAUCCUCGAAGGAGACCCUCUUCAUUCAAUUAUCCCUUUUUUAUUGAGUAAUGCCAUCUCACAUGGCAGUUGAGGAGAAUGAUUGUUACGGCGGGAAGUGAUCACAAGCUAAGAGAUCAGUGCAUCUGAAAACAAGUGGGUGUGUUGAUCAAUUGUUUGGAGAAAUUCUUCCUGUGGAUAAGGUGGGACCCCAAUACAAGGUUUUAGCUUAGUUGUGGGAUGGGCGGGAGAAAAACUUGCAAUUUCCGAUCAAUAAUUCUAUUCUCUACGUAGAAGUGUUAUCACGCCUGUCAGCGUUAUUGACAAUAAAUAACAAGUUUUCUGCUUUUUAU